GAAAGAUUCAUCGGAAGAGGAUGGGCAUGCGGCGCAUUAGCUGGACGGCGGGGUAACGGCCCACCGUGGCGACGAUGCGUAGGGGUUCUGAGAGGAAGGUCCCCCACACUGGUACUGAGACACGGACCAGACUCCUACGGGAGGCAGCAGUGAGGAAUAUUGGUCAAUGGGAGAGAUCCUGAACCAGCCAAGCCGCGUGAGGGAAGACGGCCCUAUGGGUUGUAAACCUCUUUUGUCGGAGAACAAAACCCGGGACGAGUCCCGGACUGCGUGUAUCCGAAGAAAAAGCAUCGGCUAACUCCGUGCCAGCAGCCGCGGUAAUACGGAGGAUGCGAGCGUUAUCCGGAUUUAUUGGGUUUAAAGGGUGCGUAGGCGGUCUGUUAAGUCAGCGGUAAAAUUGCGGGGCUCAACCCCGUCGAGCCGUUGAAACUGGCAGACUUGAGUUGGCGAGAAGUACGCGGAAUGCGCGGUGUAGCGGUGAAAUGCAUAGAUAUCGCGCAGAACUCCGAUUGCGAAGGCAGCGUACCGGCGCCAGACUGACGCUGAGGCACGAAAGCGUGGGGAUCGAACAGGAUUAGAUACCCUGGUAGUCCACGCAGUAAACGAUGAAUGCUGGUUGUCCGGGUCGAAUGAGAUCUGG
rnacentral:rRNA from 1 species